rnacentral:rRNA from 1 species
UACGAAGGGGGCGAGCGUUGUUCGGAUUUACUGGGCGUAAAGCGCGCGCAGGCGGCUAUCCAAGUCAGUGGUGAAAGCCCGGAGCUCAACUCCGGAACUGCCAUUGAAACUGUUUAGCUUGAGGACGAGAGAGGUGAGUGGAAUUCCCAGUGUAGAGGUGAAAUUCGUAGAUAUUGGGAAGAACACCGGUGGCGAAGGCGGCUCACUGGCUCGUAUCUGACGCUCAGGCGCGACAGCGUGGGGAUCAAACAGG